UUAAUGUGUCUUCCGUCUUUCCCUUCCCCGACCCCCUCCCAGACUCCUUCAUUCCGGUGCUGCGUGGACGGAGAGCCCCGGGUAGCCGACCCCGGGUUCCCGGCUAGCGAGAGAGAGCGUAGAGAAGGAUUACACCAAACUGUGUAAAUCCUACGGCUCCUGCUUCCUCUCUCCUGAGCUAGACCUAACAAGCCUAGAGAGCUGGGCUACGGAAAAACUAGUGUUUUCAUUUAAUUGGAUAUGAAGAAAGAACAAAUAUGUACGGGGGCAACCACGAUCUUUACAAAGAACAUAAGUUCCAGGAAAGCAGGAACCUUGUCUCUCUUGUUCACUGGUGUAUCCUCUGCAUAUAGAACAGUGCCUGGCACAUAAUAGGUGCUGAGAGAAAAAAGUAAUUUACAUUCGGCUAGUCUG